rnacentral:rRNA from 1 species
UACGUAGGGUGCAAGCGUUGUCCGGAAUUAUUGGGCGUAAAGAGCUCGUAGGCGGUCUGUCGCGUCUGCUGUGAAAACUCAGGGCUUAACCCUGAGCUUGCAGUGGGUACGGGCAGACUAGAGUGCGGUAGGGGAGACUGGAAUUCCCGGUGUAGUGGUGAAAUGCGUAGAGAUCGGGAGGAACACCAGUGGCGAAGGCGGCUCGCUGGGCCGGUCCUGACACUGAGGCGCGAAGGCGUGGGGAGCGAACGGG